rnacentral:rRNA from 1 species
CCUACGGGGGACAGCAGUGAGGAAUAUUGGUCAAUGGACGAGAGUCUGAACCAGCCAAGUAGCGUGAAGGAUGACUGCCCUAUGGGUUGUAAACUUCUUUUAUAUGGGAAUAAAAUGUUCCACGUGUGGGAUUUUGUAUGUACCAUAUGAAUAAGGAUCGGCUAACUCCGUGCCAGCAGCCGCGAUAAUACGGAGGAUCCGGGCGUUAUCCGGAAUUAUUUGGUUUAAAGGGAGCGUAGGUGGAUUGUUAAGUCAGUUGUGAAAGUUUGCGGCUCAACCGUAAAAUUGCAGUUGAAACUGGCAGUCCUGAGUACAGUAGAGGUGGGCGGAAUUCGUGGUGUAGCGGUGAAAUGCUUAGAUAUCAAGAAGAACUCCGAUUGCGAAGGCAGCUCACUGGACUGCAACUGACACUGAGGCUCGAAAGUGUGGGUAUCAAACAGGAUUAGAUACCCGUGUAGUC